rnacentral:rRNA from 1 species
UACGGAGGGAGCUAGCGUUGUUCGGAAUUACUGGGCGUAAAGCGCACGUAGGCGGCUUUGUAAGUUAGAGGUGAAAGCCCGGGGCUCAACUCCGGAACUGCCUUUAAGACUGCAUCGCUUGAAUCCAGGAGAGGUGAGUGGAAUUCCGAGUGUAGAGGUGAAAUUCGUAGAUAUUCGGAAGAACACCGGAGGCGAAGGCGGCUUGCUGGACCUGGUCUGACGCUGAGGCGCGAAAGCCAGGGGAGCGAACAGG